rnacentral:rRNA from 1 species
GAUGAACGCUGGCGGCGUGCCUAAUACAUGCAAGUCGAGCGAAUGGAUUAAGAGCUUGCUCUUAUGAAGUUAGCGGCGGACGGGUGAGUAACACGUGGGUAACCUGCCCAUAAGACUGGGAUAACUCCGGGAAACCGGGGCUAAUACCGGAUAACAUUUUGAACCGCAUGGUUCGAAAUUGAAAGGCGGCUUCGGCUGUCACUUAUGGAUGGACCCGCGUCGCAUUAGCUAGUUGGUGAGGUAACGGCUCACAAAGGCAACGAUGCGUAGCCGACCUGAGAGGGUGAGCGGCCAAACUGGGACUGAGACACGGCCCAGACGCCGACGGGAGGCAGCAGUAGGGAAUCUUCCGCAAUGGACGAAAGUCUGACGGAGCAACGCCGCGUGAGUGAUGAAGGCUUUCGGGUCGUAAAACUCUGUUGUUAGGGAAGAACAAGUGCUAGUUGAAUAAGCUGGCACCUUGACGGUACCUAACCAGAAAGCCACGGCUAACUACGUGCCAGCCGCCGCCGUAA